rnacentral:misc_RNA from 1 species
AUGAAGAACGUAGCAAAAUGCGAUAACUAAUGUGAAUUGCAGAAUUCAGUGAAUCAUCGAGUCUUUGAACGCACAUUGCGCCCCCUGGUAUUCCGGGGGGCAUGCCUGUCCGAGCGUCAUUGCUGCCCUCAAGCACGGCUUGUGUGUUGGGCUCCGUCCCCCCGGGGACGGGCCCGAAAGGCAGCGGCGGCACCGAGUCCGGUCCUCGAGCGUAUGGGGCUUUGUCACCCGCUCUGUAGGCCCGGCCGGCGCCAGCCGACAACCCAUCAUCCUUUUCAGGUUGACCUCGGAUCAGGUAGGGAUACCCGCUGAACUUAAGCAUAUCAAUAGCGGAGGA